CUCGUGGACGUGGAUAACCUCGGGAAACUGAGAAUAAACCACGAUAGAUCAUAGUGCCUGGAAUGGCUUAUGGUCCAAACGGUUUACUGCCAUGGGAUGGGACUGCGGCCUAUCAGCUUGUUGGUGAGGUAAUGGCCCACCAAGGCGAUUACAGGUACGGGCUCUGAGAGGAGAAGCCCGGAGAUGGGUACUGAGACACGGACCCAGGCCCUAUGGGGCGCAGCAGGCGAGAAACCUUAGCAAUGUGCGAAAGCACGACUGGGUCAGUCCGAGUGAUUCCUGAUAAAGGAGUCUUUUGCUUGUCCUAAAAGCACAGGUGAAUAAGGGGUGGGCAAGUCUGGUGUCAGCCGCCGCGGUAAUACCAGCACCUCGAGUGGUCAGGACGUUUAUUGGGCCUAAAGCAUCCGUAGCCGGCUUUGCAAGUCUUCGGUUAAAUCCACCUGCUCAACAGAUGGGCCGCUGGAGAUACUACAGAGCUAGGGAGUGGGAGAGGCAGACGGUAUUCAGUGGGUAGGGGNUAAAAUCCUCUGAUCCAUUGAGGA
rnacentral:rRNA from 1 species